rnacentral:rRNA from 1 species
AAAUGAAUAGACGGGGGCCCGCACAAGCGGAGGAGCAUGUGGCUUAAUUCGAUGCAACGCGAAGAACCUUACCCGGGCUUGACAUGUGACUGCACGCCCCGCGAAAGCGGGGUUCCUUCGAGGGUGUCACACAGGUGCUGCAUGGCUGUCGUCAGUUCGUGCCGUGAGGUGUUUGGUUAAGUCCACCAACGAACGCAACCCCUGUGUCCAGUUGCCAUCGGGUAAUGCCGGGGACUCUGGACAGACCGCCCGUUCACACGGGAGGAAGGUGGGGACGACGUCAAGUCAGUAUGGCCCUUACGUCCGGGGCUGCACACGUGCUACAAUGGCCGGUACAGCGGGAUGCGAAGCCGCGAGGCGGAGCGAAUCUCUCAAAACCGGCCCCAGUUCGGAUUGCGGUCUGCAACUCGACCGCAUGAAGUCGGAUUCGCUAGUAACGGCGUAUCAGCCACGACGCCGUGAAUACGUUCCCGGGCCUUGUACACACCGCCCGU